rnacentral:rRNA from 1 species
GAGAGGUGCUGCAUGGCUGUCGUCAGCUCGUGUUGUGAAAUGUUGGGUUAAGUCUCGCAACGAGCGCAACCCCUAUCGUCUGUUGCCAGCAUUAAGUUGGGCACUCUGACAAAACUACCUGGAUUAACCAAAAGGAAGAUGGGAAUAACGUCAAAUCCUCAUGACCCUUAUAUCUAAAACUACACACAUAAUACAAUGGCGCGUACAAAGGGAAGCGAACUCGCAAGGGGGAGCAAAUCUCAAAAAGCGCGUCUCAGUCCGGAUUGGAGUCUGCAACUCGACUCCAUGAAGUUGGAAUCGCUAGUA